GGUGGAGGCGGAAGUGACUGAUCAAUUCAGGGGCGUGGGGUUCGUUUAGGUCUUUUCCUAGUUUUGCCCUGUGUAUGACCUCGUUUGGAGCCAUGAAACCAGGUCUGUGAAAUUUAGUGUCUAUUUUCUACCAUAACACAUGUUAAUUUGGACUAACCACAUUUCGAGUGCUCAGUAGCCACAUGUGGCUAGCGACUACUAUCUUGAGCAAUGCAACGAUAAGUCUGCACUUACGUUCAAAAAGACUUAAAGCAGGGAUCGACAACCCCCAGGCCACAGACUGGUAUGGAUCCAUGGCCUGUUAAGAACUGUGCCACACAGCAGGAGGAAGCUCUUCCACGAGUUCACGAAUGGAAAUAACAUCAAGAGUUUUUCAUCUUCUUAGUGUGCAAGGUUAUUUUAGGGCAAUGAUGGAAAGCACCAAGUGGAGUCUGGAGCUAGACUGAUCUGUGUUCAAUCCUGUCUUGGUUACUCAUUGGGGGGCCUCGACUUUCAUGUCUCUGUAAUGUCCCUGACAGUAUCUGCCUCACAGGGUUGCUGUGAGAGUCAAGCGAGAUGUCUGAGGAAUAGUCUUAGUGGAUUAUCCCAAACUUGACACAUUUUUUGCAAAAUGCUAUACAAAAAGAAGAUACAUGCGAUUAUGACAAGAUUCUCCACUUGGUGUGACCAGUCUCAUACAACCCAAGGCUGUGUGUCCAAAGGCAACUGUACUGAUCUUGACAAUAAUCAAAAGGUAGCCAGGUGCAUCGG
rnacentral:lncRNA from 1 species